rnacentral:rRNA from 1 species
UACAGAGGUGGCAAGCGUUGUUCGGAAUUACUGGGCGUAAAGGGCGCGUAGGCGGCCUACUAAGUCAGACGUGAAAUCCCCCGGCUUAACCUGGGAACUGCGUCUGAUACUGGAAGGCUUGAGGAUGGGAGAGGGAUGUAGAAUUCCAGGUGUAGCGGUGAAAUGCGCAGAUAUCAGGAGGAACACCGGUGGCGAAGGCGGGUCUCUGGCCGAUACUGACGCUGAGGAGCGAAAGCGUGGGGAGCGAACAGG